rnacentral:rRNA from 1 species
GACGAACGCUGGCGGCGUGCUUAACACAUGCAAGUGGUGCGACGAACCAGGCUUCGGCCUGGGGCGAAGCCGCGAACGGGUGAGUAACACGUGGGCAAUCUGCCCCUUUGAUCGGGACAACCCGGGGAAACCCGGGCUAAUACCGAAUGAGGUGGCGACUCAUGAGAGUCGUCACGAAAGGAAGCUUCGGCCUCCGCGAAGGGAUGAGCCCGCGGCCCAUUAGCUUGUUGGUGGGGUAAUGGCCUACCAAGGCAACGAUGGGUAGCUGGUCUGAGAGGACGAUCAGCCACACUGGGACUGAGACACGGCCCAGACUCCUACGGGAGGCUGCAGUGGGGAAUCUUGCGCAAUGAGCGACAGCUUGACGCAGCAACGCCGCGUGAGGGAAGAAGGCCUUCGGGUUGUAAACCUCUUUCAGUAGGGACGAAGCUUCCGGGGUUAAUAGCCUACGGGGUGACGGUACCUACAGAAGAAGCCCCGGCUAACUACGUGCCAGCCGCCGCCGUAA